GUGUCAGCCGCCGCGGUAAUACGUAUGUCGCAAGCGUUAUCCGGAUUUAUUGGGCGUAAAGCGCGUCUAGGCGGAAAAAUAAGUCUGAUGUUAAAAUGCGGGGCUCAACUCCGUAUUGCGUUGGAAACUGUUUUUCUAGAGUACUGGAGAGGUGGGCGGAACUACAAGUGUAGAGGUGAAAUUCGUAGAUAUUUGUAGGAAUGCCGAUGGAGAAGUCAGCUCACUGGACAGAUACUGACGCUAAAGCGCGAAAGCGUGGGGAGCAAACAGGAUUAGAUACCCUGGUAGUCCACGCCGUAAACGAUGAUCACUAGGUGUUGGGGGUCGAACCUCAGCGCCCAAGCUAACGCGAUAAGUGAUCCGCCUGGGGAGUACGCACGCAAGUGUGAA
rnacentral:rRNA from 1 species